ensembl:lncRNA novel transcript
AAGCCUGGGGACUGCAGGCACAGUGAGGAAGGUAGGGAAGGGUCUCUCCAAGACAGGCCCACCAGGAGCCCCCACUGGGAAUAAUGCAGCCCCUCUCAGGGGAUGGAGUGUCUGGAAUUCCAUGGCUGAGGUGCAACAGGUGACUGAAGGUUUGAGGAGGCAACGCUGCCACUCACAGUCAGAAGCAGAGGGGAUGAGAUGGCCAGAUGUGAUUGGAAUCAGACACAGUGAGGUUUGAAUCCUCACUCUGUCCUUUUUGUUGUGUGGCCUGUGUGACAGGUCCCACAGCCUCUCCAGCCUCUGUGGGAAGAAGGAUCAUCUGAUGCCUAUGUAAUAGAGUUGCUGAAGGAGUGGAAGCAGCUUUGACAUUAUCAGUGGAACCCACCAGUGCAGACUGCUUCACCAAGGGCACCUGAGGCAGCAGAUCUGAGGAUUAGGGACGUAGGGAGCUGAAGCCUGGCUGGAGAGGUGGUGCGCACAAGAACCCCCACAUUCCCCGACAGGAGCCUGAAAAAGACGCCAUGUUGGGAGGACACGGAAGCAGUUCUAGGGAGAGGAGCACAUGGCAAGAAGCCAAGGCCUCCUGCCCACAGCCGAUACCCUGUGAUUGCCAGCAAGUAAACCAGAUGCAAUUGUGGUUUCCGUGAAGCACAGCUGGAAAACUGCUGCCCCCACGGAGGAAGAGGAAGAUGGGAAGAUGGUGGUUACUGCACACCAGGCACCAGCCUCGGGGCUAUGAGCUGUACAAACAUUACCCAUUUUAUCCUCGUGACCAUGUUCUGAGAAGGCUGUCAAUGAUCUCACUUUAUACAUGGGGAAAUUCAUGCAGACAGAGGCUGACUAAAUUGCCAUGGUCACUCAGCUAGUAGGAACUGGAGCUGUAACUUGAACCCGGGUCUUUUGUUUCUGUGGCUCCUGGUAGCACAUGCCGGGCUUGAAGUGAGAUCCGGAGGAUGUUGGAAACAACGUGUUCCCCAUCAUGAAAGUCCUUAUGAUACCUUAUGAUGCAGAGUUGGCAGCCAGGAGCAGGGGCUUCCAGAAGCAUGGCUGACCCUUGUUGGGAUCUCGCUCCUGUGAGCCUUGGAACGUCUAGGGAGAAAGAGCAGCCAAAUUUAGAGCUGCAGGAGCUUUGAGAUGCAGCUCAGGCAUCAUCUCUGGGAAGUCUUUCCUGGAACCACAGCCUGGGCCCUGUACCUGAUUCCCAGCCCCUGUGGCUCUUUUUGCAUUUGCUGCCUCUUUUCACAAUUCUGUCUCCUUAUGUCUUCCACUCUACACGCAAGCCCCUUGAGGGCAGGACCAUGACUCAGUCAUCCUGUACCCUAGCACCCACCCUGGGUCUGCAUCUGGAAGGAGCUCACUAAGUGAUUAUUGAGCCAAACUGAACUGUAGCAGGAGUGAGCAAAGCUAAUUCAUGGGUGCAGAAUGGGAGCACAGAGCUGCCAGAAUCCAGAGACAACUGUAACUGUCCCGGCACAGGGGGCUUCAGGCCGCGGUGAGAGCCACUGAAAGCAAGAGAGCCAGGUGGUGGCUCAGUUCACACUGAGUCCUGCUGAAGAAAUAGGCACAUCGUGUGUGUUAAAAUCAGCACCCCAUGCACCUGUAGGAAGAGACUGAGGCACCCUGGAGGCCCCUCCCAAUAAUUAAAAGGCCCUCUGGGGCCUGUGGGAGCCCUAGCUGAUGAAAUCACAAAGGCCUCAGCCUCUAAAGUGUUUCCAGUAAAAUGCUACCAGGAUUUUCCUCCCUUAAAUCUGGAUGAAAGGGCUGUCUGUGCUACAAAGUGCACACCUGGCGUUGAUACGCAGUCUCUUGCUGCCUGUUAACUAACCCACCAGCCGACAAGUUCUGCCCACUGGCAGGAGCAAGGACUUAUAAAAAAUAGUGCCUCCCUCCCAAGGGCUUAUGAGCUGGUUAAGUGCAGAGGACAAAUAGAAUGAAAGAAAAGGCAAUCUCGGCAUAGUAUUUAGUUAAUUCUUCUCUCUCUCUUGUUCCCUCUCUCUCCUUUCUCUCUUCCUCCCUCCUUUCUAUGACUUGUCCUCUCCACACAACUCCUUUUCCGUUUUCCCUCCCCUGCCUCCCCACCUUCUUUCUUGACUUCCCAUCUUGCUCCCUUUCUUCCUGCCUGCCCAUCUGCUUUCCUUUCUUAUCUCUGGUGCAAAUUCUGCAUAUAGUCGCUCUCCUCAUUUCAUGACAGGCUGUCUUCAUCAGUUUCUGAGUUCUUUUGUUAUUUUAUAAAAUAUUUUACAUGCUGUCCUCAAAAAAUCCCCUCCCCCAGAAAAGGCCCAUUCAAAAGUACUUACUAUACGUCCUUAGAUAGGCAAUGAUCUCUGAAAUAUAUAUAGGCUUGCUCUAUAUGUGUUUUUGUAAGUGUACUUUUCUUUCAUUAAAUAUGCAGAUCUUAAUUGUACAGUUUGAGGUGUUUUGACAAAGGUAUAUACCAGUAAAACCACCACCCCAACCAAGGUACCGAACACUUUCAUCUCUCUGGAAAGUCCCCUUGUGCCACCUUCCAGUCAACUCUCACCCUCCAGAGGCACCCACUGUUCAGAUUUCUACAUGCAUUUUGCCUGUUGCUGAACUGGAACCUCACAGCCUUUUACGUCUGGCUUCUUUCACUUAACAUAAUGUUUUUAAGUCAUCCAUGUAGUUCAUUCUUUUUUUUGUUGCAGAGCAAUAUUCCAUUGUGUGAAUGGAUGUACUUUAUCCAUCAACAGUUGAUGAAGUUGGGUUGGUGGCACUUUUUGGCUAUCGUGGGUAAUGCUGCUCUGGAUGUUUCUGCACAAGUCUUUAUUGUGGACAUGGGUUUCCAUUUCUUCUGGGCAAAUGCCCAGGAACAGAAUUGCUGAUUCAUUAGGAAGUUAUAUGUUUAACUUCAUAAGAAACUGGAAAACCGCACUCCACAGUGUUCAUGCUAUUGCACAUUGCCCCCAGUGCCAUGUGAAUGUUUCAUUCUUGGGGUCUAGAAUAUCUUACUGCAGUUUUAAUUGGAAGUUCUCUGAUGACUUUUGAUAGAGUAUCUUUUCAUGUGCUUAUUGGUUAUUUAUUUCUUCUUUAAAGAAGAGUCUAGAUCCUUUUCCCAUUUAAAAUUGCAUUGCUUCUAUUUUUACUGUUGAUUCUUAGAAGUUCUUUACAUAUUUUAGAUUUAUAUACAGUAAAUAUUUUCUCCCAGUCCAUGGCUUGCCUUUACCUUUUCUUAAUGGUGUCUUUUGAUUAACCAGACAUUUUAAAUUUUCAUGAAGCCUAUUGUAUCGGGGGUUGUUUUUGUUUGUUCAUUUAUGGUUAGUACUCUUUUUGGUGCUAGCCAGGAAAACUUUGCCUACAUUCUCCUAAGCUCAUGAAUAUAUUUUUCUAUAUUUGUUUCUAGGACAUUUAUAAUUCAAACUUUUAUGUUCUAGCCUAUCACUCAUGUAUAGUUAUGUAUAGUAUAAAUAAGGAUUGAAGUUCAUUUUUCUUUCCAUAUACUUAUCCAGUUAUUCCAGCACCAUUUGUUGAAAACACUUUCUUUCCCUCAUUGAAUUUCCUUGAAGCUUGUGCUCAUAACUUAUAUAACGAGUAUUGCGUUACAAUUUCCAUUAUAUUUCUUAAUUUUUCACUUAACACAAUGUUUAUAUGAUCUAUCCGCAAUGCUGUAUUCAGUCAUUUGAAUUCACUCAUUCAUUUUAUCAUUCAAUAAAUCUGCAGUGGUGAAGAAAACAGAA